rnacentral:rRNA from 1 species
CGUAGUCUACGAGAGUAGUUUGUACUCGUCGGCUCGAGGACGAACGCUGGCGGCGUGCCUAACACAUGCAAGUCGAGCGAAGUGUUUUAGGCAGAUUCCUUCGGGAUGACGCUUAAAACACUUAGCGGCGGACGGGUGAGUAAUGCGUGAGGAACCUACCUUCCACAAGGGGAUAGCCUCGGGAAACCGGGAUUAAUACCCUAUGACACUUAAGAGUCGCAUGACUCUUAGGUUAAAGCGCUUUAGCGGUGGAAGAUGGCCUCACGUCCCAUUAGCUAGUUGGUGAGGUAACGGCUCACCAAGGCGACGAUGGGUAGCCGGCCUGAGAGGGUGACCGGCCACACUGGGACUGAGACACGGCCCAGACUCCUACGGGAGGCAGCAGUGGGGAAUAUUGCACAAUGGGCGAAAGCCUGAUGCAGCGACGCCGCGUGAGCGAAGAAGGCCUUCGGGUCGUAAAGCUCUGUCCUAUGGGACGAUAGUGACGGUACCAUAGGAGGAAGCCCCGGCUAACUACGUG